AGUUUGAUCCUGGCUCAGGACUAACGCUGGCGGCGUGCCUAAUACAUGCAAGUCGAACGGGAUUCUUUGAUCAGCUUGCUGAGAGAAGGAUCUAGUGGCGGACGGGUGAGUAACGCGUGGGAAUCUGCCUCUUACUGGGGGAUAACAGUGGGAAACUACUGCUAAUACCGCAUAAGAUCUUCGGAUGAAAGGUGCAACUGCACCGGUAAGAGAUGAGCCCGCGUCCCAUUAGCUAGUUGGUGAGGUAAAGGCUCACCAAGGCGACGAUGGGUAGCCGGCCUGAGAGGGUGAACGGCCACACUGGGACUGAGACACGGCCCAGACUCCUACGGGAGGCAGCAGUAGGGAAUCUUCCGCAAUGGGCGCAAGCCUGACGGAGCGACGCCGCGUGAGUGAUGAAGGCCUUCGGGUCGUAAAGCUCUGUUCUUGAGGACGAAUAAGCCAGGGAGUGGAAAGCCCUGGUGAUGACUGUACUCAAGGAGAAAGCUCCGGCUAACUACGUGCCAGCAGCCGCGGUAAUACGUAGGGAGCUAGCGUUGUCCGGAAUUACUGGGUGUAAAGGGCGCGCAGGCGGUUUCAUAAGUCAGGUGUGAAAGCCCGGGGCUCAACUCCGGAUAUGCACUUGAAAC
rnacentral:rRNA from 1 species